rnacentral:rRNA from 1 species
UACGUAGGUCCCGAGCGUUGUCCGGAUUUAUUGGGCGUAAAGCGAGCGCAGGUGGUUUAUUAAGUCUGGUGUAAAAGGCAGUGGUUCAACCAUUGUAUGCAUUGGAAACUGGUAGACUUGAGUGCAGGAGAGGAGAGUGGAAUUCCAUGUGUAGCGGUGAAAUGCGUAGAUAUAUGGAGGAACACCGGUGGCGAAAGCGGCUCUCUGGCCUGUAACUGACACUGAGGCUCGAAAGCGUGAGGAGCAAACAGG